GAAGAUGGAUAAUUGAAUCUCAGGCUGGAAUGUGGAAGAAACAGAUUUGAAGAAGUGGGUAAAAACCAAUUCAAUGGAAGGUGAGGUAUAGAGUAUUGAGUUAUAUGAAAUGGUUGCAAAUUCAUCGUCUUUUUUUGUUUGACAUUGUGUUAGAAGUAGGAAUGGAGGUUUGAAGGAUAGUGCAUUGUGUGAAUCGAACUAUGUUUACAUGUAAAAUCAAUACUAAAAAGAGGAGUUGAGAGAAGGUGUGUUUCCAAAUCAAACCCAAACAAGAAGCAAAAAAGACUCAUCUUUCCAUUGCUGAAUUUUUGCAAUCUUACAAAUUAUAACAAAAACCAUCAUAUUGAUUCAGAAAAAUUAUAACUUGGAUUUCCAAAUCUGUUUAAAGAAUCAAUGAAUCAUAGCGAAAAAGGGUAAAGGCUAUACUGUACAAUGCCCGAACCAGCAAGCAAACCAAGCACUCAAAUCAAACCCACUAAUGCUUGCUCGUGCGAAUGGCUUCCACCGACCCACCAUGGCUCCAUAGACCCCAAAUGGCUGCUGCCCUCUUCAUCGAUUGGUGCUGGGAGAUUCAGAUCCAGGUAGUCUCUUAUUUCUGCCUCUGGUUUCUGAUUCGAUUUGGUUUCUGGCAAUUUGUUUCUGGAUUCUGACCCAUUUAUUAAAUGGGACCUUUUAUGGCCGCCCAAAGCUUGGCCUGAACUAAAAAUCUUGAAGCAAAUUGAGCAUUGAUGAUGCUUUCUGAUCUUUUUCUCAUAACCCAUGUGAAUUUCUGAUUCCUGGUGAUUUUCCACCUCUAAUGCUGUGGCUGUGGACUUACUUUCAAAUGUUGGGUCGUUUGAAAUCUCCGUUUCGAUGCUAUUUUCACUGUUUUCUGUCUUUGAAGCUAAGCAUCCUUUGGUUUUCUUGUGACUGGCUCUAUGCCCACCAAGUGCUUGAUAUGAGUGAAAGAUCUUGUUGCAAGAAUUACACUGGAAUUUGCUUCUCUUUCCUUUGCUUUUGUAUGAUUCUGAGUUUAGUUCAUUGGGUGUUGAUCUUCUGAAGGAAUUUGACCUCAAUUCCCCAUUUGAAAGCUCAUGGAACUUUCUCUGAUCUGAAUUGAACUUACUGGAAUUGAAUUGAGGUUGGUUAAUGUCAGUUUGGUUGUUGGAACUUGAUCCAAAUAUGUCAUCUUGCUGAAACUUCUCUUCGUUCUUGUUCAUCUUGACAGCAGAAGCACUGAUUUCUGAGUUUGACUCUUCAAAUUUGAGACACCCAGAAUCCAUCUCACUGAGCUUCAACUUUCUGCUGUGGAAGUCUUUCAAUUGCCCCAUGUAUACAGAAGGAAUAGCUUCAACAACUUUGGAGAAAUGAUUUUUUGG
rnacentral:lncRNA from 1 species